GGACGACGUCAAGUCAGCAUGGCCUUUAUGCCCUGGGCUACACACACGCUACAAUGGGUGGGUACAGAGGGCUGCCACGACGCAAGUCGGAGCGAAUCCCUUAAAACCAUCCUCAGUUCGGAUUGCAGGCUGCAAUCGCCUGCAUGAAGCCGGAGCUGCUAGUAACCGCAGGUCAGCUAUACUGCGGUGAAUACGUUCUCGGGCCUUGUACACACCGCCCGUCACGCCAUGGAAGCCGGAAACACCUGAAGUCGAUGGGCCAACCUUUAUCGGAGGCAGUCGCCGAGGGUGGCGCUGGUAACUGUGACGAAGUCGUAACAAGGCAGCCGUACGGGAACGUGUGGCUGAAUCACCUCCUUUCAGG
rnacentral:rRNA from 1 species